rnacentral:tRNA from 1 species
GGGGAUUUAGCUUAGUGGUUCCACCGCCUGUCUUGCAAGCAGAAGGACCAGAGUUCAAUUCUCGGUACCCCCC